GCUGUUCUUACAUAUAUCAUCGUGCUGUACAAAAUAACGAUCAAUGUGAAGAAGACACCAUCGGUGGCGAUCGCAGUAAACAUGCCAACGAAGGGAUUGUUUAUCGGCGUGGAGUGUGAAUAUUACAUAGGUGCGGUAUGGAUACUUUGGGACGGCGACAAAUGAGUUGAUAUGUUGGUGGCAGCGGAAGGAAUCGUAUGACUAGAAACCGAAGGAACGACUGCUAGAAGGUGCGGUGUGGAUAGUUGCCGAAGAAUGAGUUGAUGUUACGGAGGAAGCGGAAGGAUUCGUACGAUUAGAAACCGAAGGAACGACUGCUAGAAGGUGCGGUGUGGAUAGUUGCCGAAGAAUGAGUUGAUGUUACGGAGGAAGCGGAAGGAUUCGUACGAUUAGAAACCGAAGGAACGACUGCUAGAAGGUGUCAAAAAAGUCGUGAAUCCACGGACAUAUGCCGAUGCAUAUUAACAAUACUCACCAAUAAAUGAAGCUGGUGUGCUACCAUCUGCUCUAACCAGAAACUCCAACUUACCGCUGGUUGGUGUAGCAUUAUCCGCAUUAGUCCGUUUUGCUGCAGAAUUAACAUACGGAGAAGCAGAUGAAGCGUGGGCCGGCGAAGGAACGGAUGCUGGAAUAUAAUCGAAAGCAAAAGGGAUUAAUGUACCUUUUCCCACUGAUUACCUGGAUAAGCCAUAAAACUACCUGGACGUGGUGCACCACUUUUCGAGGACUUCGACGGCGGGAUCUGUCCCUUUUCUUUCAACACCCGAGAAUUCAUCGUUUUAAUUAUUUACUUGUUUUAAACACAGCCACUUGAGUCAAAAUUUUAGUCCGAAUGAUUUAACCCGGCUCGUUGGUUUUUCUACCCGCCUCAUGCCGGUGCUGUACGCGUACGCUUACUUGCUCUGU